rnacentral:lncRNA from 1 species
AUUCCACUGUGAUCUCUUUGGUCUCUCGCUUCCAAAGUGUAACACAGGAUGGUUUCCACCAAACUUGAACAGGUUGGAGAGAUAGAGUUUGUCCAGCUGGUGCCACUGACCACUCCGAGGGCCGUCGUUAGCCGUUUUUUCUACAUGUGCUUGGUUCUCGCUGGAGCCCAGUUCGUGCACCUGGAACAGAGCGAGCCGUACGGACGGAUCCUCCUUCAGCCGGGGGCUCGUUUCCCCCUGAGCUAGCCACCCCCUGCGGCUCCCGUUCCUGCCUGAUCGCACGCACCAGGAGAGUUGAGGGUGCGCAGAGUCUCCUGCCCUCCCACCCCGCAAGGAGGGGGAGCGAUCCGGUACUCCAGGGCUUGAGAGAGAGAGAGAGAGAGAGUCUUCCUGUUCCAAACCUUUUAGAGUCGGCAAGAUGCAUUUAUGGAUCGAGAGCCAUUAAGAAUCCUUGUUUCCUACCUAAUUGAAUAAAGAUGUUCUGCGUUAAUAUAGCCUUUCCGAC